rnacentral:tRNA from 1 species
UCCGGGCUAGGGUAGUGGUAUCCUUUGGCCCUGUGGCGGCCAAGACGUGGGUUCAAUUCCCGCGCCCGGAC